rnacentral:lncRNA from 1 species
CCAAAAUAAACAGAAUGACCUGUACCUUAUUAGCACACAAACGCCCAAAGAAGUAAUCCACACCUCUAAGCAACCAAACGAAUCCCCUUUUCUAAGAACAUUACAUCCGUCACAAACAACAACCCUAAACCACACCCAAGACUUCCAUAUAUCCAUAAGGUGUAAUACAUCAUGCAUACCAAAAUUUCUUGCUUAAGUCUUCCUCAAAACUAACAUCUGCAAGUCAUAAACUGAUCGACAAGUAUUGGUCAGACCGAAACCAAUACAACACACAACUAUUAGGGGUGGGCAUCGAUAAGUUCGGUUCGAUUAUUAAUAUUAUCGGUUUAACAUAUCGAUUAUUGGUUU